UUUUCUCUCCUUUCUACUCCUAGUCCAAACCUUCCUCUUUCUUCUACAUGCGCCGCUGCCGGCGAGAAGCCACGGUCGCCGAUGUUCUCCACCGUCUUCUCUCUCCCUCUGCCUCACCCUCUGUCGGCGAAAAACCUGCAACCAUAUCACCGCAAAGCCGCCGCCCAAAAGCCCUAGAUCCCUAAACCACCAACUCCGCCCUCACAUCUAAGCACUGACGCCGUUCCACACGGCGUCGCCUCCCUCCUCGAAGACGAUAAAUGCGCCGCUGCCUCCCUCUGCACAGCCCGUUUCCAGUCGCCGUCCGGGUUUCAAACUACGGCGUCGCCCAAGCCCUAGCCUCCAGAUCUCGGCCUCCUCCCUCGUCUGCAUCUUUAAUUCUAGCGUUCUCCAUAUGAAAUUUUGAAAUUUUUUCUUGCAGAUUAGUUUUCUUUUUUAUACUUUGUAAGAUCUAUUUUUCUUUCGUUUGUUAGUUUUUCGUUUUUUAAUUUUAAAUUUUUCUAAUUUUCUCCAUGUUUAAUUUUUCUUGCUGAAGUAUCAUUUUUGUUCAUUUAAACGAUAGCCAAAAAAUUUCGUCUACAUCUGCUCCAAUGUUUUUGUUCAUAAGAAACCCUAGCCACAAAUUUUAUUUAAGAACGACUUUAGGUAGAUCUUAUGUUUUUGCUCUGCUGUUCAAAUUUUGCGCACAAUUUUCACAAAUUUUCAUAAGAAACCCUCUGCACAAAUUUUGCGCAGGUAGAUCUGCUCCAAUGUUUUUGCUCCAAUGUCUUUUCUUUUUUUUCCUAUACAGAAAUCUUUUAUUUUUUUCGCAUUCUUAGUUUCUCAUUUUAUAGAUCUCUGAAUAUCUACACAUGAAACUGGUACUUGUUGAUUUUUAGAUAUCUGCUUUGUCUUGUUUUUCAUUUUCAUUUUCAUUUUGGUAGAUCUCUGAAUAUCUACAAAUGCAUUUUUGCUGCAUUUGCCCUUGUUUUCGCUGUUCAAGGCCACGGCCACGGCGCUUUCGCCCCUGCUCCUGCUCCGUCUCCAACCAGAGACGGUUAGUUCCUCUUUUCCACAGUCGUUUAUUUAUUGAAAUAUUUUGUAUUCAGAUUUUUGAAGAUGCUAUUCAUGAAUUCAACCUCUCCAUGUUGAGCUAUUUGCUCUUGCUUUUCGUGUUUCAUAGAAGAUGCAAGAAAUUUGUUUUGUUUGCUUUUUGCCAUCUUCCCAACUGAGAUAGAUAAUAUUAUCAUAUUUCAACAUAUAUAAUUUCUCAUACAAAAAUAAUAUAAUAUGAAAUUUCUAUGCUAACUUGCUGUAAAUCUUUGAAUACACACUAAAACCAUUUUUUUGUGGCUUUUGCAGAUAUGAGUGGUAAUAUACUUCUUUCUCUAUUGAAAGAUUCAGUCGUUGAAGAUUCAGUCUUGAUCUGGCGAAAAGUCUUGAUCUGCAGCGAAAAUUCAGAAAUAUUAGCUACAUUUUUAAACUUUAUGUAUAAAGUAGAAAUAAGUGUAUAGAUUUGUAUCAUAGUUGUAAUUGAAACUAAUACUAAUAAACAGCAAAAAGCUAAACAAAAUAAAAAGCAUAAAAGGAUCAGAAUAAAAAGCUAAACAAAAAUACCACAUAAAAACAGUAAAAAUAAAAUAGCAUAAAAAGCAGUUGAAAAAAAAGGAUCAGAGAGAGAAAGUUUGCAAUUGGAAAAUGCUGUCUACAAUAAUCUGAGGUCCUAUUUAUAGAAAUACACUCACUGUUAUCAGCAAUUAAUUUGGGCUCCAAAAAUUUGAAAUUUGAAUUUGGGCUGCACUUUUUGGAGCCAAAACAGACAGGUUUCUCCAAGGCCCAUCAGGCAAUAAACAGCAACAUUAUACGGUGGAUAAAAACAGGCAGGCUUUGGCUGGAAAAUUUUUUGGCAAAACUUGUGCUUUAAUAUAAGUAUAGAUAGAUAUUAUAUAUAAAGCAGCAGUUCUAACGGCUAGAAAUUCCCGGCAAUUUUUUUGACAGUUUCCUUCCCAAAAUUUUAGGAUUAUUUGAACGAACAUGGGUAGAUUUUUCAUGAAUCAGUAUUUUUCUUCCAAGAUUUCAGCAACAAUUCAAUUUUUUUUAUCAAAAUUUCAAGCAGAUUUCAGAAAACAAGGAUAACAGAAACAAGAAUUUCAGUAAUAAUCCAG
rnacentral:lncRNA from 1 species